CUGGAACUUACCCAUAAGAGCCUUACCUGUUGUUUUCUUGGGUAAUAGGAGGCGACAUAGAUGUCUCUUGGGAUAGUGAAACAUUGACUCCUGUUUGUUUGUUUUGAGAGAUGGGGUUUCUCUGUAGCCCUGGCUUUCCUGUAACUGGCUCUGUAGACCAGCCUGGUCCCUGAAUGCUUUAUCUCUUUGUUUCAAUAAUUUAUCUUUAUUUUAUGUGCAUUGGUGUUUUAGCUGUAUGCAUGUCUUUGAGGGUGUCAGAUUCCCUGGAAUAGGAGUUACAUAGUUUUGAGCUGCCAUGAAGGCACUGGGAAUUGAACCCAGGUCUUCUGAAAGAGUACUCAGUGCUCUUAACCGCUGAGCUAUUUCUAUAACUCUGGGAUUUUAAGUUUAUGGUUUCUCUCUCUCUUUCUCUCUCUCUCUCUUUCUUUCUCUCUCUGUCUCUCUUUUUUUUUUUUUUUGAGACAGGGUUCUUUUCUGUAUUCUAGCCCUGGCUGUCCUCAAACUCAUUCUGUAGAGCAGACUGGCCUUGAACUCAGAGAUCUACCUCCCUCUGUCUCCCAUAUGCUUGGAUUAAAGUGGCAUUUAGUUCCAGUACUUAGGAAGCAGAGGCAAUCAGAUCUGAGUUCGAGGCCAGCCUGGUCUACUGAAUGGAUUCCAGGAUGACAAGGACUACACAGAGAAAAA